CUUUCUUCACAACGCCACCUUCGCCUACAGACAUCCUUACUCCUACCUGACAAUGUGAAACUCCAGAGAUGCCUUUCCCUGAACCCAGCCACUCUUCUGCCACUUCCCAAGGGGGGAAUAGUGCACCACUGGUACAGCCUGGACAUCAACCCAGAGGUCCGAGCAGAUUUACAAUUGCCUGUGUUUGCACCUUCCCCUGAUGAUGAACAAUCAGAGGCCCUACUC